GUCCAUCAGAAUAAGGUGAUGGAGGAGCGGAAGAUUUCAAAAGAAACAAGAGCCACUGGGAAGGUCAAGUGAAAGAAUGGGUACCAAGUUGAAAGAAUGAAGGAAAUGCAAAUGAUAUGAGCGACUGUUCCAAGGAAAGAGCAGGCGCCUAAUCAGAGUAACUGUGCUGAAGUGAGAACAUGCGAAAACGAGUAGAGGCUGUGGACAUCAAUGGGUCUAUCCGCUCUUGCAAUUUUGUGCGAUAUCCUGCAUCCUCUACGAAAAAUGGUAAUCCCUAAACACUGAUUAUCUCCACCUAAACACAUAAAAGGCUUGUUUGAUACCUAAACCGUAACCUUGACUAAUGCAUGUGAUGAGAAGCUCACGCCACUCUUAAUUGAAUGUAAGGAGUUUUUUCUGGAAGGUGUAGCUUUUGUAGAUUUGAGAUAUAGAGUAUGGAGCCGAUCUUGAAUAGCGGUCAGUGGGGUUUCGUAAGGGUGUGCUGUCCUAGUUUUACUGCUUGUAUGGUUCAGAGAUUUGUGGUUAAAGUAUGGUUGAUGAAAAUAGGAGAGUUCCCACACUUUCAAACCUUUCUCCAUGUUCUUGAUACUUGGCCUUGUUCGAGGACAAUCAAGGAUUUAAGUCUGGGGGAA
rnacentral:lncRNA from 1 species